GGCGUAGCAACGGCUAAGCUGCUCAGACAUUUUGCCAAGGUUGGGGUCGAGGGUUCGAAUCCCUUCGCCCGCUCCA
rnacentral:tRNA from 1 species